UACGUAGGGCGCAAGCGUUGUCCGGAAUUAUUGGGCGUAAAGAGCUCGUAGGCGGCCUGUUACGUCUGCUGUGAAAUCCCGGGGCUUAACCCCGGGCGUGCAGUGGAUACGGGCAGGCUGGAGGCAGGCAGGGGAGAAUGGAAUUCCCGGUGUAGCGGUGAAAUGCGCAGAUAUCGGGAGGAACACCGGUGGCGAAGGCGGUUCUCUGGGCCUUACCUGACGCUGAGGAGCGAAAGCGUGGGGAGCGAACAGG
rnacentral:rRNA from 1 species